rnacentral:lncRNA from 1 species
GAGAGGGGGGCGAAGAGGAUGUUCUCCGGCUCACUCCUACAUUAGGUCUCUGUGCAAAGGCAGAGGCUGUGGGAGCAGCAUCAAGCAAGACUUCGGGCAGUGAUUCUAACUAUUGCCUAUGAACACCGUGGCUGGGACGACUUUGACGAGGCAAUUUAUUACUUACGCAUAGAACACUGGCUGUGCUGAAACUGGGAGCGCAAACAGCCCCUUGUUUUCUAAUUUAGAGACUUGCAUCUUUUCGACACUCAACAGUAUCAAGACACUCUGCUACUACAGAUUGAUUUCCACCAUCAACACCUUUACCUCUUCCCGCCUGAAAAUAAAAUAUGAAAUAUAACAAGUAAAUCGCAAUCUACCUUGAAUCUUCUGGAGAGGAAAGAAGAAACCAUGUCUAGACAAGGUGCUGGAAAGACCCAGGGAAGACACAGGCUUUGGUAUCAGGAUGAUGCUGGCCUCACAAAAUGAGUUAGGGAGGAUUCCCUCUUUUUCUAUUGAUUGGAAUAGUUUCAGAAGGAAUGGUACCAGCUCCUCCUUGUACCUCUGGUAGAAUUCGGCUGUGAAUCCAUCUGGUCCUGGACUUUUUUUGGUUGGUAAGCUAUUAAUUAUUGCCUCAAUUUCGGAGCCUGUUAUUGGUCUAUUCAGAGAUUCAACUUCUUCCUGGUUUGGCCUUGGGAGGGUGUAUGUGUCGAGGAAUUUAUCCAUUUCUUCUAGAUUUUCUAGUUUAUUUGCGUAGAGGUGUUUAUAG